GCCUUUAGUUUUGCCUUAGUUUUGUUUAGGUUUGCUUGUUCUGUUUUGGCAGCAUUUUAUCAAAUUGUCAUUAAAAUAGGCCUUUUUAGCUGGACCAACUGGUUUUAUAUAGGUUUUAACUAUUUCUUUUGUGUAACUUUUUCUUUCUUGUCCCUUACAGUGCAGUGGUUGCUGGCUAGCGGUGGAGGCUAGGCACUCUGGGUGGUUCCCUGCACCCUUUUGUUGUAGUGAUAGGCGCACUGGGACACAGUAGUCUGCACCUGUUUGCCGUGUUUUGCAGUGAGUUCACGUGUGAUGGCCACUUCCAGUCACAUUAAUAUAUUUUUGCAUUUAAACUUAUAAAUAAAUUUUUGAGUUGCUUUUUGAA